AGUAAACUAGAAUAUAUGCCUUCAAACCCUAAUAGUCAUCCAUUGUAUCAUUUCUAUUGUAAAUAUCUCCCACAAAACUAGAUCUAGCCGCCCAUCCAGUUCUCUCCUUUUAUACUGUCCUUCCCUAUCAUUUCUUUUCUUGGGAUUUGUGAAUUCUUUUCUUGGGGGUUGUGAAUAUUGUUCAUCUGUUAGAAUGCAGGAAUUGAAGUUUGCUAAACAAUGAAGAAAAUGCUUCAAAACUAGGGGGAUUUUUAUGUGUAUACGAUUGUUUACCAAGUACAAUGAAGCCAGGAGUACCCGCUAUAACAUAUAAAACAAAGGCAAAAAGUUCUGCUCUCCUGCUGCCAAGAAGGCUGAUGGUGUUGACGUGGAGGCUAUAGUUUUUAUUUUGGGUGUUUAGAUGGAUGUUUAAAUUUGAACUUGAUAGACAGCUGUGUGGUUUGUGCUUUUGCUAUAAAUUUUAACAGACAUUGGUACUUUCAUCUUUAUUCUUCCCGUCAGGCUUAUACUAUAUUUGCUAUAUAUUGUUUGAAACUUAUUGGGCUUGUGAAAUGGCACGCCAUGAAGGAUUUUGAUUGUCAAGUUUCACCCAGGACCAUAUUUGAAAAAGGCCGGGGUGAUCAUUGUAAUAUGUAUUAAUGAUCAAGCAUAUAACAAAGAAA